UACGGAGGGUGCAAACGUUGCUCGGAAUCAUUGGGCGUAAAGCGCACGUAGGCGGCGCGUUAAGUCGGGUGUGAAAGCCCUGGGCUCAACCCAGGAAGUGCAUCGAACUGACGCGCUUGAAUAUGGAAGAGGGUCGCGGAAUUCCCGGUGUAGAGGUGAAAUUCGUAGAUAUCGGGAGGAACACCAGUGGCGAAGGCGGCGACCUGGGCCAAUAUUGACGCUGAGGUGCGAAAGCGUGGGGAGCAAACAGG
rnacentral:rRNA from 1 species